rnacentral:rRNA from 1 species
GACGAACGUUGGCGGCGUGCUUAAUACAUGCAAGUCAACUGAAGCAGUGGUAGCAAUAUCGCUGUGGAGGUGGCGCACGGGUGAGUAACACGUAGGUAAUCUGCCUUCAGGUCUGGCAUAACUCCGGGAAACCGGGGCUAAUAGCAGAUGAUGCAGCGGCUCGACAUCGAGACAGUUGUUAAAGCUAUGGCGCCUGAAGAUGAGCCUGCGUCUGAUUAGCUAGUUGGCGGGGUAACGGCCCACCAAGGCAACGAUCAGUAGCUGGUCUGAGAGGACGAUCAGCCACACUGGAACUGAGACACGGUCCAGACUCCUACGGGAGGCAGCAGUAAGGAAUAUUGCUCAAUGGGAGAAAUCCUGAAGCAGCAACGCCGCGUGAGGGACGAAGGGCUUUUGCUUGUAAACCUCUGUAGUGAGAGAAAAAAAUCCCAAUCUUUGGGACAUGAUGGUAUCUCAAAAGUAAGCCCCGGCUAACUACGU